UUCAAUGUGGCCACGUUGUUAAUGUUUCCAUAGUAACAUACUGUUGUUUACUGAUAACGCACUUGAUUAUACGUACAAAAAAUGUCUAGUUCUGAUUUACUAUAUAACGUGGAUUCGGCAUUUGAAUCAAGUUUACAAAGCAAUCCUUUGCCCAACACACUGGAAAUGAAAUCAAAAUCAGGACCUCUUGAUGGAUUCCGCAACUACAAGCCGUUCGAAAUACGUGAUGGUGUUCGUAAGUCGUAUUGGACGUCUGUGGCUGAGAUUAUACGACCAUCAAUGGGGACUGGAUUACUCUGUUUAUCAUAUGCAUUUCAAAAGUUGGAUCUUAUCAAUGCAAUUGUACUCUGUCUACUUUUUGGAAUCGUUCUUCAAUAUUCAUACGGUGUUUUGGUAAAAUACUUCAGGUUUAUUAGUCGGUAAACAAUAUCAAACUACAUUUACAUAUUAUAUAAUUUACGAUCACUGAACAGAUAUAGAAAGACAAGAUUACUCCGACCAUGACCAUUUGAUUUAAUUGGCUUAAAGUAAUCUCGAAAGAGACACUUAGUAUUACUUUAUAUGUCUUUAGUCAAAGUCAAAAGUAUGAAGCCAAUUGAUAUUGCUUGUUAAAUACAUACAGCGCAUCAAUAGUGUAGCUUUGCAGUGGGGGCGUUAAUAAAAAAAUCUACAAAAUUACAUAUUUUCCACCUUUUUGUUUUUGCUUAUCACAUUUUAGAGAUGAAUAUUGCAGUCAAAGGAGGCACAGGCUCUUUUUGGCUUCCUUGGCUAUGCCGCUACAGUGCAUUAAAAAAUUAAUUCUACUUUAUCAAAUAUUGUAUGUAUAUCCUUUAUUCAAAAAUAUUAGUUAGCAUUUGAGAUUUUUAUACUUAAAUUUAAUAACUAUAAAUAUAUCAAUAAUGACUGAUAAUUAUUAAAUCAAUUCAAUUGAAUUAUUAAUUUCAAUAAUGAAAAUUUCAAUUUCUAUUUCCAUUUUUGAUAUAUUUAAUAUUAUUUUAUUACAUCCUUAAAAAUUGUAAUUAAUGAAAACUAUAUUUAUCGAAGUGUCGUGGGAGAUAUAGAAUGUGUCAAGUAAAUAGAGUGCCUUACUUAUGUUUCCAUGAUUUAGUUGAGUUUGGCAUUAAUUUAGGCCCAGAAUACGUAUAUGGAUUUAGUAACAUUUUCAGACGAAUAUCUGUAAUAAUGUUUUUCACUUUCAAUCUUGGGAAAAGUUGUCUCUAUACCAAAUACGU